GAAGUUGUUAUUGAGAUGCUUAAAACGGAACCCAACCUUUUAACUUUUGUGGACAAAAAACGUAGAGGCAUCCUUCUGUCUGCUGUUCAACAUCGACAAGAAAAUAUUUUCAGCCUGACAUAUGUGCUUGGUACAAGGAAGCACAAGCUGAUUUCUGGAACUGAUGGUCAACAAAAUAACAUUUUACACAUUGCAGCAAUGUUAGCACCUCCUCAUCGACUUGCACGCAUUUCAGGUGCAGCUCUGCAGAUGCAAAGAGAGCUACAAUGGUACAAGGGUGCACAACUUAGCAUUUUGAAAACAUUUCACUCAUAUUCAUACUUCAACGACUUUGAUUCAGGAAGUGGAAAGUAUUGUGGAUC
rnacentral:misc_RNA from 1 species